rnacentral:rRNA from 1 species
CCUACGGGUGGCAGCAGUGAGGAAUAUUGGUCAAUGGACGAGAGUCUGAACCAGCCAAGUAGCGUGAAGGAUGACUGCCCUAUGGGUUGUAAACUUCUUUUAUAUGGGAAUAAAACGUUCCCCGUGUGGGAUUUUGUAUGUACCAUAUGAAUAAGGAUCGGCUAACUCCGUGCCAGCAGCCGCGGUAAUACGGAGGAUCCGAGCGUUAUCCGGCUUUAUUGGGUUUAAAGGGAGCGUAGGUGGAUUGUUAAGUCAGUUGUGAAAGUUUGCGGCUCAACCGUAAAAUUGCAGUUGAAACUGGCAGUCUUGAGUACAGUAGAGGUGGGCGGAAUUCGUGGUGUAGCGGUGAAAUGCUUAGAUAUCACGAAGAACUCCGAUUGCGAAGGCAGUUCACUGGACUGCAACUGACACUGAGGCUCGAAAGUGUGGGUAUCAAACAGGAUUAGAUACCCCUGUAGUC